rnacentral:rRNA from 1 species
GAUGAACGCUGGCGGCGUGCCUAAUACAUGCAAGUCGAGCGAACGGACGAGAAGCUUGCUUCUCUGAUGUUAGCGGCGGACGGGUGAGUAACACGUGGAUAACCUACCUAUAAGACUGGAUAACUUCGGGAAACCGGAGCUAAUACCGGAUAAUAUUUUUAACCGCCUGGUUCAAAAGUGAAAGACGGUCUUGCCGUCACUUAUAGAUGGAACCGCGCUGCAUUAGCUAGUUGGUAAGGUAACGGCUUACCAUGGCAACGAUGCAUAGCCGACCUGAGAGGGUGAUCGGCCACACUGGAACUGAGACACGGUCCAGACUCCUACGGGAGGCAGCAGUAGGGAAUCUUCCGCAAUGGGCGAAAGCCUGACGGAGCAACGCCGCGUGAGUGAUGAAGGUCUUCGGAUCGUAAAACUCUGUUAUUAGGGAAGAACAUAUGUGUAAGUAACUGUGCACAUCUUGACGGUACCUAAUCAGAAAGCCACGGCUAACUACGUG